GGCUUCGUAGUGUAAUGGUCAGCACAUUCGACUCGCAUUCGAGGGGUCCGAGGUUCGAGUUCCGUUGAGGUCA
rnacentral:tRNA from 1 species